rnacentral:rRNA from 1 species
UACGAAGGGGGCUAGCGUUGCUCGGAAUCACUGGGCGUAAAGCGCACGUAGGCGGGUUGUUAAGUCGGGGGUGAAAUCCUGGAGCUCAACUCCAGAACUGCCUUCGAUACUGGCGACCUUGAGUCCGGGAGAGGUGAGUGGAACUCCGAGUGUAGAGGUGAAAUUCGUAGAUAUUCGGAAGAACACCAGUGGCGAAGGCGGCUCACUGGCCCGGUACUGACGCUGAGGUGCGAAAGCUAGGGUAGCAAACGGG